rnacentral:lncRNA from 1 species
GAAAAUUCUAAUUUCAUGUUUCCAGCUCCUAUUUCCCCCCGAUGUUAAAAGUAGUCCGCGCGCCCUAAAGUUAAAAAAAAUUAAAUUGAAAAAGAUCAGGCUCGAUCAUGCCCUAAUCUCUAGCUCCUUUAGAUAUUUUAUCCUUGGUUCCGUAUUCUAUAACCUAAUCUCCACUUCUCAAGUUGAUACCUUAGACACGAAUCACGCUUCACAAGCUCAAGCUCAUAUUCGACAACGACACCAUCAUCGGUGCCGGACCAUCCAAGUGCAAUGUAGCAGACCAUACCAUCAUAACAAAAGGUAUGAUUUUUUUUUUUUUAUAUUGAUUACAGCUAUUGAUUUUGAUUUCAGUUUCCAAAUGAAAAGAAAAUCAGACCAUCGCAUCAUAAGAAAUUCAGAAAUCCAUCUCUUGAUUGUGGUUAUUUUUGCACUUUUGAUUUCUCAUCUUUUUGUUAUUAUUGUUUACCAGGUGCAAAUCUCAGCCCUUUCUCAAAUGAUCGAUCCUCUCUCAAGUUUUCUCAUUUCAGUUGGUCUUUUUGUAUUCUUCUUUACUCUUCUCUACGCUUAUCUCUAUUUUUUUUCUUAAACUGGAAUGUUUUGAUUGAAUUACAAAUGUUGCUAUGGAGUGAAACUGGAAUUAGGAUGAAGAAGCUAUGCUCAAGGAAAGUGCAUAUAAGGUGUUUGUAGAAAUGCAGAAGAGAGAAUAGAGGUAAGUAUGAGCACUGCACAAUCUUUAUUAUGAAGUAUCUUUUUAAAGAAGUUUAUUUUUUCUGUCUGGUUAUGAGUUCUCAUUUUUGGUUGUGCAUACAGAACUUAUUAUGCUUUAAAUUAAUUAGAUUAUAUGUUCAUCUUCUAAAUCAUAUAGAACAUAAUUAAAUUAAGCUGACUUAAAAUAUAUUGAUUUUGGAAAAGGGGAUAUUGUCUCUUCAUGUAUAUAGAGGUGAUUCUGUUCUAAAUGAAUUAGAUUAGUUGUUCACAAACUUUAAUUUGGGAAUUUGUUAUCUUUCCUUAAAUUGAUGUUGUUGUUGACAAUGAAACUUUAACCGAAGUUGUUUACUAUCAUAAUCAUGAAGAUGAUUAUGAGUAUUAUUGAUAUAUAUAUAUAUGCCAAUCACAUUCGGUUAGUAUAAGUUUUUANUAUAUAUAUAUGUACACCAAUCAUAUUUGGUUAGUAUAAGUUUUUAAUAAAAUUUCUAAAUUUAUUUAGAUUUUUUUUAUAGUGUAAUCAUAUUUUCCAUGCCAAUGACAUUUCAGGAUCUACUGAAGCCCACAACUGAAUGGUCUUUUCUCUAGUAGCUCUUACCCUUUUGUAUCUAAUCAAUUCAUCCAUUUCAUAACAUUAAAACAUGAUUGCAGAAAUGGUUAUGGAAGCCCAAGUCUAUAUUGAGGUUUAUCUAGUGCAAGUUUUUUUCUUAUGGUUAUGUUUAGAAGGUUUCCAUGAACCAGUCACAAAAUAUCAAGUGAUAUUGUUUAUGAGUUUAUUUGUAGUCACUUACAAACCAUAACCAUCAGGUAUGAACUCAUUAUUUUGGUUUAUUAAUACCAUAUCUACAAAGUACAUGAUUGUGUCACUGUUUUGAAAAAAAAUAUAUAUUUUAAUGAUGCCAUCAUUUUGAAAGGAGAUAAUAUUAGUAUGUUGUACUUGGGUAUUUGAUUCUUCAAAUCAACUAUAUAUUGAUGUUAAAUGGUUGUAAUUUACUUAUUUUUGGAUUAAGUUGACUAUAGCAUACUAGUUUUAGAUUAUAACGGCCAUAAUGUAUUUAUUUUUAGAUUAUCAUUUUAUAAUUGCUAGAAUAGUUAAGCUAUUUUUUUUGUAGGCUUUCUUACCAGUCGAAGUGACUCUACAAACAUACAAGGGACCGAGAUGAUUAUUGAAAACGUUUGUAUUUUAAAUAUAUUGAGAAUAUUAUUUUUAGAAUUAUUUAAGUUUUCUGAAGACGUCUUUAUUUUAAAUAUAUUGAAAAUAUUAUUUUUAGACAAGUUUGAAUUGAUGUGCUG